CCUACGGGAGGCAGCAGUGGGGAAUAUUGGACAAUGGGGGAAACCCUGAUCCAGCGACGCCGCGUGAGUGAAGAAGUAUUUCGGUACGUAAAGCUCUAUCAGCAGGAAAGAAAAUGACGGUACCUGACUAAGAAGCCCCGGCUAACUACGUGCCAGCAGCCGCGGUAAUACGUAGGGGGCAAGCGUUAUCCGGAUUUACUGGGUGGAAAGGGAGCGUAGACGGCAGCGCAAGUCUGGAGUGAAAUGCCGGGGCCCAACCCCGGAACUGCUCUGGAAACUGUGAAGCUGGAGUGCAGGAGAGGUAAGCGGAAUUCCUGGUGUAGGGGUGAAAUGCGUAGAUAUCAGGAGGAACACCGGCGGCGAAGGCGGCUUACUGGACUGUAACUGACGUUGAGGCUCGAAGGCGUGGGGAGCAAACAGGAUUAGAUACCCUAGUAGUC
rnacentral:rRNA from 1 species